UCAUAUGAUGCUUUGUGUAUUUUAUACGCUGGAAAUUACCGACUGAGACCUUCCGGUCUUCGACGAUAUCAAAUGGCUAUUUCUGAUU
rnacentral:snoRNA from 1 species